GCAGCCAGAAGAGCCUGCAACAGAGAAGAUAAGGAAAAGCAGCCUCCUAUCAUUGUCAGUGCAACACAGCUUGAGUACUCGUGAGUCAUAGUUUGCUCUCAGCCCUGACUGAAGGAAAAUGCCUGCUGGCAUGUCAAAGGAGCUUCAGAAAAAUUCAUAGAUUUCAAGGCCAAAAGGGAACACUCUGAUUAUCUAGUCUGACCUCAUGAAGAGCAGAGGAGCUUCCCCCAGUGAUUCCUGCACAGACCAAAUGGUUCUUCCCUGGUCCAUAAGGACACUCUCCAGCCAGCUAUAUAGACUGAAGCAUAUGGGGUUUAACAGCUACACUAGGAACAACACAUCCAUACUGCACAUAUGGCACAAUGAUGUGAGCAACACAGAGCUAGAAAACCAUCGAUGAAGAUGAAGAGUGGUUUCAUUUAAACAUGAACACACAGGGACAUGAACA